CAUAGAUUAGCAAGUAUUUUGGGAAGGUAUAGUUACAAUUGAAUGACUUGUAAUUUGAGUUGAAAUUGAGAAUAUUUCUUCUGAUAGGCCUAUCUUUAGUUUGUGGCUUAUCACAUACCCCAGUUUUAUUUAUUGCAAUGAAAGUGUAUAUGUUUGAAACGUAGACACCUCAAGGUAUUGUAUAUGGAGUGCUUUGAUGCAACCAUUUUAGCCCAAAAAAUUGGAGAACGUGUGUGGUGGUAAUUUUUCAGUUUUCAUUUUUACACACACUGCUUUUUGGCUGAUUUAGGAGUGCCUGUUGUUGGUUAUUGCAAGAAAACACUCCAGGUUGUUUUCUGCAAAGCCUCCUGAGUACACCUAUGGACCAGUGUGUGGGGCAAUCAGGACAGUAAUACUGUAUCUUUUCUCUGUCCCCUCUUAAAAAAGACUCUGCAUCUUUUCUGGGGAUUCUGCUUUGCCGCAGGGGGGGGAUUUUAAAAAUAAAAUGUGCAGCCCCAACUCUGCUCUCUCCCAUCACCGCCCGGAGAGCAGUGCAUCAUGUUACAAAAUCCCCGAAAUGUUCUGGGACUGAAACUGUAAAAAAGCAAAUUGCAUUCCAGGGUUUGCUUUUGUGCAUAGCGAAAAAACAUUGUGGGUUGCAUUCUGCAUUAAGUAGAUUGCAACCUUUUUGUACCAGGCACUUGUCUUCCGUAUAAUUAGGUAGGGCUGCAGCAACUGAUCUGCCAGAUCAACCCCACCCAUAUGCCAGUUAUAGACCUUGAUGCACACUGGCUUCCUUGUGCACUCAGCUCUGCCACGUACAGAGACCUCCACAGUCCCCUCAGUGUGGAUGGUGGUAAGAAGGUAUACAUCCUUCUAGUCUCUGUACUUAACUGCGAACAGCUCCUCUUGGUGCAAAGCUGAGCUCUCCCCCCUUAGUAGCUGGGUACGUGCAAGUUGUGCUUGCGGCACAAAGGGACACUUGUAUAAAAAUUGUCCGUAUACAACUGGUAUCCUUUGUUCAUCAGGGGGAAUAUCAGGUACCAGACAAUCUUGCCACUGGUUCCUAUAUGUUCUGGGCAACCUGGAGGGUCAAGGUAUGUAUCCUUUCCCUCGUACACCUGGAAGGCCUGAGUAUACCCAAUCUCGCUAUCACAGAGCUUAUACACCUUUACACCUUUACACCAUACCUGGAGUGCUUGGAAGGAAUAUACUGCUUGAAUACCAGCCUUCCCUUAUACUUCAUCAGGGAUUCAUCCACGCAUAUAUUCCUUCCAGGUGUAUAAGCCUCUGCAAACUUGGCAGCGAAGUGGGUAAUCAGGGGGCGGAUUUUAUACAGGUUGUCAGGGAUUCAUCCACGCAUAUAUUCCUUCCAGGUGUAUAAGCCUCUGCAAACUUGGUAGCGAAGUGGGUAAUCAGGGGGCGGAUUUUAUACAGGUUGUCAAACUUGGGGAUGCUCCCUAGGGGGCAUAGGGUGUUGUUGCUGAAGUGCAUGAAAUGUAGAAUAAUUUCAUAAUUCUUCCUAGAUAUACACUGGGAGUAAAUGG